rnacentral:rRNA from 1 species
GUGGGGAAUAUUGGACAAUGGGCGGAAGCCUGAUCCAGCAAUUCCGCGUGGGUGAAGAAGGUCUUCGGAUUGUAAAGCCCUUUCGACAGGGACGAUGAUGACGGUACCUGUAGAAGAAGCCCCGGCUAACUUCGUGCCAGCAGCCGCGGUAAUACGAAGGGGGCUAGCGUUGCUCGGAAUUACUGGGCGUAAAGGGCGCGUAGGCGGCGAUGUUAGUCAGGCGUGAAAUUCCUGGGCUCAACCUGGGGACUGCGCUUGAUACGGCAUUGCUUGAGGAUGGAAGAGGCUCGCGGAAUUCCCAGUGUAGAGGUGAAAUUCGUAGAUAUUGGGAAGAACACCGGUGGCGAAGGCGGCGAGCUGGUCCAUUACUGACGCUGAGGCGCGACAGCGUGGGGAGCAAACAGGAUUAGAUACCCUAGUAGUCC